GACGAACGCUGGCGGCGUGCUUAACACAUGCAAGUCGAACGGAAAGGCCCUGCUUUUGUGGGGUGCUCGAGUGGCGAACGGGUGAGUAACACGUGAGUAACCUGCCCUUGACUUUGGGAUAACUUCAGGAAACUGGGGCUAAUACCGGAUAGGAGCUCCUGCUGCAUGGUGGGGGUUGGAAAGUUUCGGCGGUUGGGGAUGGACUCGCGGCUUAUCAGCUUGUUGGUGGGGUAGUGGCUUACCAAGGCUUUGACGGGUAGCCGGCCUGAGAGGGUGACCGGCCACAUUGGGACUGAGAUACGGCACAGACUCCUACGGGAGGCAGCAGUGGGGAAUAUUGCACGAUGGGCGGAAGCCUGAUGCAGCAACGCCGCGUGCGGGAUGACGGCCUUCGGGUUGUAAACCGCUUUCGCCUGUGACGAAGCGUGAGUGACGGUAAUGGGUAAAGAAGCACCGGCUAACUACGUG
rnacentral:rRNA from 1 species